AGAUAAAACCUUUUUGUUUUAUAGAUAAAAAGCCCCAAAAUGUACACCACUUAAAAAAAAGCUUAUAAUGUAAAUAAGUUGCCACAGAAUAAGUGUAACUCAAUUUUGACAAAAAUGUCAAAUAAAACCUUAUAAUUCCAAAAAGAUGAUGUGUUGUAUAUGUGCUUUCUAAGAUCAAUUUUUAUCACUUGGUGAAUGAUAAAAUAGAUUUAAAAAACCCAUUGAGGACCACUUGCAUUGAGAGAGGGACCUUAGUCAUAUGUAGAUAGCAGAAGAGAAUCUCUGAGUAACCACCCAGUUCACCCUAUACUGCAUAGUAACAAAUGUAAAAAAACACUUGUUUGUUUUUGCUAUGAAUCUAUUUUGCAAUCUGUAGCAUUGAAAAUUUUCAACCAGGAAAUUCUAUAAUGGUUUCAACAAAGAGAGGUUAACACAUAUUUUCUGUCUUAGAAAUGUAUUGCAUGAAUUUAAUUUAAUUUUGGAAUUAAUUUCUGAUCUUUGUGAAUUCCCUUUUGUAUUCACAGACCUGUCGAGUGGGGCAGUGGAGAGUGGCUCUCGUGGUAUGACUACUACAAACAAGGGCAACAAAGCACUGAAGGUGAAGCGAGAGCCAGGUGAAAAUGGCACAAGUCUUACGGAUGACGAGCUGGUGUCUAUGUCUGUGCGGGAGCUGAAUCAGCACUUGCGUGGUCUGUCGAAAGAUGAGAUCCUGCAGUUGAAACAGCGGCGGCGCACACUCAAAAACCGUGGCUAUGCCGCCAGCUGCCGCGUCAAACGUGUCACACAAAAGGAGGAGCUGGAGAAACAGAAGGCGGAGCUUCAGCGGGAGGUGGAGAAACUCGCCUCAGAAAAUGCUAGCAUGAGGGUGGAGCUUGAUGUGCUGCGCUCCAAAUAUGAGGCUCUCCAGAGUUUUGCCAGAACUGUGGCCCGCAGCCCUGUUGCCACUGCCAGGGGCCCUAUCACAUCUGUCAUAGGGCCCCUCAUACCAGGCAAAGUGGCUGCCACCAGUGUCAUCACCAUUGUCAAGUCCAAAACAGAAGCACGGUCAUAAUGCACAAACUAGGAACAUCUGUAAGUAUAUUGGUCAGUGUUUUCAUCAGGCACAGGGUAACUUAUGUUAUAUAAUGUGAUAAAAUUCAGCAAGAUGAUCUGCUUGGUGACCAUAGAAUAUCUAAGCUAAAGUACACUAAAGUUUCUCUGUUGUCAUUUACAACCCUUGUUGUUAAUGAACAACAAUUCUGAUCAAAGUAUCAUUAAUCAGAAUAUUUCACACUUUAGGUUCACAAAUUCAUUAUUAGAAAAACACGCCAUGUACACUGAAAAAAAUAUACACAUUUUUUUUAAAGGUAAGUGGUUGCUAACCAUUUAUUUUGGCUAUAUUUUUAAAAGAUUAUGUUGAAAAUUUGUUAACUAAUUUUUUUAUUUAAAUAUAGCUAAGAUAUGCAACCACUUACCUAAAAAAAAUUCUGUCCAUGGAACACAAAAUUUGUUUAUGUGCUGCUCUUUCCAACACAGUAGAAAGUAUGCACUAACUGGCAAUCUCAACAAAAGUUUUUAAAAUACACCAUAAAAGUAUAAUAAAAACAGUCACAAAAAAUUCACAUUGUAACAUUUAUACCUCCUGUGAUUAAAGACAAAAGAGUUGAUACCAUUUGUCAUCAGUUGGGGUUUACUAACUAGUAAAGUGACACAUUUCUUUUAAAUUUACAAAAAAAAUAUCUAAAUUAACGCAAGUUACUUCAUUCAUUAUUACCUCUCCUAUCCCAAUGUUGAGUGAAAGGGCCUUUACAGUUGCCAAAAAUAUAACUUUUUAUUUUUUGUUAGAAAAAAAAAUGUAACAUGCAUUUAUUAAUGCAAGUAAUGCAUUUAUUCCCAUAAAAAGUAACACAAUUAGUUGCCUUAAAUAUGGUGUAACACUAUAUUGCAUUACAUUUAAAGUAAUUUUCCACAGCACUGUUGUCAUGGACAUCAAACCUGAAGCAGUGCAUCUUAUGACACAAAAUAUUUGUGCUAAUAGAAGAGAGGGAAAGAUUGUUAAUGAAUAAAUUGGAGUGUGUUACUUAUAGAAAUAUUUUGUUCUUUUUGGGGCUGGACAGACAUGGCCACUGUAUGGAUUCACUGUAUGGAAAAGAGCAUGUACAUUCUGCUAAAUCUCCUUUUUGUGUUCAGGGUUAACUCUUCCAUUUAGCUCCAACUUGAGUUACAUGUGCUUGAUAUUGUCCACUGAGUGAUAUACAGAAAAUACAGUAAAUAUAUUCACUAUUCUAUCAGAAAUGGCGGUGUUCCCUCAAUACAUACUGAUCUUGUAAUUCACAAAGUGAGCAAAAAUUAUUUUUCAGCUAUCUUCAGUUUUCUUUCCUGUUAAGUUCAAUUCCAUUAGUGGAAUGAUGUUUACAAGUUAUAUUCAGAGGAAUAUGACCAGGAGAGGCAAUAAACUACUGUAUUUAUGCAUGGGAGAGCCGAGGACCUGUUGAGCUGUCUGGCAGGUGACGUUCUUCUUUUGCAGAUAUGAGAAACCCUUUUCUAAAAAAAAGAUAUCGCAGAGAGAGGAGGCAUUUACUUGUUUUUAGAAAACUGUGUUGGUAAAACUGAUCAUUCUAGAGCUUUGUUCAGAGUCGUAGAGCUGUGGUUUUGUUGUUCUGUGAUUUGUGUGGAUGGGCUGGUCUCAAAUCAACCCAGCACAAGCUUUAUUGUUGAAUUGUUAGCAAAUGCUCUCUGAUGUCUUAUUCCAGCUACUUUGUUGUUUUCUUUCCUGAAUAAGAAAACAGAAAAAAAAAGUUAUUUAUAUGAACAAAAAAUAGUUUGAUAUCAAUUUUGCAAUUGUACCAAAAGUGGCUUAUUAUUGAAGUCUGAUUGCUUUUCUAGUAAGUAGGCACGUGCAGUGGGGUAGCGCGUGGCGUGCUGUGUAUGUGGUCAGGUGGCAGUGUUGUUCACUGUGUAAGUGUCCAGCUGUAUUCUUUAAAUGGAUAUUAUAAAGAACUAUAGAUGGUGUACAGAAGCCAGUUGUUCAUAUUGGCUUUUUCCAUAUCUCUGUAAUGAAGAUGUCUUGCACUCAGAACACCUGACUUUUGUUGAACGAUAUAAUUUCCAGCUUAACUGCAGCUAUAACUAUAAUAAACCCAAUGUGUAGCUUCAUAAUGGUGCAUAGCCAGUCUGCAGUUCUCUUCCAGCACAGGUGGUUGGGCAAAACACAAUUUAUCCUUAAUGUUUGAGGGCAAGAAAAAUAGCAAGACCUGAAUUUAAAGUUGAGGUUCUGUUCCAAAACCUAGUGAAUUGUCAAUUUUAAGGCAUCAUACAGUAUAUGCUCUCCCAACAUAUAGACUGUUGUAAGACACACUAAAUAAGGAGGCAUGGCAUGAAUGAGUGACAAACUCACUGAAAAAGAAAUGCAUCUAUCUAUUCUCCAAACCACUAUAUAAUAAACAGCCAAUUCUUUAUGAGCAAAAUGUACAAGUAAAGAAUACAAUAGAAUGUGACUUGAUUUGAUUGUCAUGUCAAGUUGAAGGAUUGAAAAUCAGUGUCCGCUAAACAGGAAAGGUGGAUAAAGAUAUUACAUUUAACUAUGCUGACGAUGCUGCCUACCGUAUGUCUACAGACUAGGGUUUGGAACAGAGCUAUAAUAUUUAAAAAGUUAAUUGACUGUCAACCCUGUCAUCUUGCUCUUUAGAACUACAUACAGUGCAAAGAUAUUUGAAAUAAGCUUCAUGAGACUCCUCUGUGAGAGAUGAUCAGGAUUCAAGACCAGAUUCUGAAAACCUUUCAACCCGCCAUCAGAAAGAGGUUUUGCAACAGUAAAAUAUGCAUCCCAUGUUUUCAUAUGUAGGUUAUAUUCUUUCAAAGACUGGUAUGUUUUUAGCGCUUAUUGCUCGUAUAAUGCACUCAACACAUCCAAAUAUCUUAUUUUCUACUUUUGAAAAGCAGCUUUUUGGAGCAUUUUUUUUUUCAUCAUACUUGUUUCACACAGCACUUUGUGCACUCUGUGGUGUUUAAUGUAGUUCUUGGAUAAGUGCCACACUGUACCCUUAUGUGCACAUAAAUUGUUGAUAUUCUUGACCAAUGAUGUUUGUGGUAGUUUGUAUUUAGGACUAUUGUGAAAGGACUGCUGAGUAGGAAGAUAUUUUAGUGAGAUACAGUCACUGCUGCAAAGCUAAAUGUGUGUUUAUUAGCUCUGUUCCAAUCCAAGUUAGCAUCCGAGUGCAUCAUAGGCACAUUCCUGACUCGAAGGCUCCAGCAAUCUUGCAAUGCUUUCUAAGAAAACCUGUUUUGGCCCAAUUCUAAGCCUUUGUGGCAUGCAGUAAAUCCAAUUCCAAAAUGAUCUUCUUUCAAAGAAUUCCUCCAAAAUGUAAAACAUCCUUCAUACAUUUAUUUCAUUCAGUAUAGAAAUUAUAAAUAAAAUGAAAGAAUAGAUAAAAAUAAUUCCGUUAAUUGAAAAACGUGGAUGUUUGGCGACAUUCUUAUUUCAGAAUUAGUGGUAACUCUUUUACAACUACUGUGAGAAACACUAUCUGUCUCACAAUAUGUCAUUUCAGUUCCAUUUCAGUUAACAUGUCUAUGUAGCUCACUAAGUUUUGGGACAGAGCUAUUGUCAUUGCUAAAUUAACUGUAUUGUGGCUAUAUUCAUUUAAUGGUAGGCUAUGCAACAGGCCUUUCGAUGUUUUUAUUGGUUUUGAAUCAUUAAUGAAUCCUAUCAAAAAGCAGUUGUUUUUUUUCCAGUCAGCACAUUAAUGGCAAUGUUAUCAAGCUUUAGGCUUAAUUCAUAAUUUUCUUUCUUUGGUGUGCAAGUGACUGUAAAGGGUUUUAUAUUUGGCACUAAGAGUAGUUCUUUGUAUCAGAUUCGUGGGUCAAUAAAAUAAAGAUAUGAAAUAUGAGUUUAGGAUUGGUUAACAUUGAUAGAAUAUGUUAUGGUUAUUUUUAUCAAUGGGUUGUAAUAAGAUAUAUUGCAGUGCUUUGUAUAAAACACAGUAACAAAAUGGGUGAAUUGUAACUAUUUAUUGAUUAAAUUGUUGUACUUUUUUGCAAUCUAGAUACAACACUGUAUUCAUAUUUAAUGACUGUGGAUUUGAACCAUGCAGUUAACCAUUUUUGAGAUGUGGCUAAGUUAUUGAUUUACUGUUGUACAGCUUCUUUUAUUUUGUAUUUGACUAAUAAAAAUGUUUUGAGAAAGA